CCUACGGGUGGCAGCAGUGGGGAAUAUUGGACAAUGGGGGGAACCCUGAUCCAGCCAUGCCGCGUGUGUGAAGAAGGCCCUCGGGUUGUAAAGCACUUUCAGUGAGGAAGAACGCCUGGUGGUUAAUACCCAUCAGGAAAGACAUCACUCACAGAAGAAGCACCGGCUAACUCCGUGCCAGCAGCCGCGGUAAUACGGAGGGUGCGAGCGUUAAUCGGAAUUACUGGGCGUAAAGCGCGCGUAGGUGGCUUGAUAAGCCGGUUGUGAAAGCCCGGGCUCAACCUGGGAACGGCAUCCGGAACUGUCAAGCUAGAGUGCAGGAGAGGAAGGUAGAAUUCCCGGUGUAGCGGUGAAAUGCGUAGAGAUCGGGAGGAAUACCAGUGGCGAAGGCGGCCUUCUGGACUGACACUGACACUGAGGUGCGAAAGCGUGGGUAGCAAACAGGAUUAGAUACCCGAGUAGUC
rnacentral:rRNA from 1 species